GUGCCACCAUGCCCAGCUUAUUUGUGUAUUUUUAGUAGAGAAAGGGUUUCACCAUGUUGCCCAGGCUGGUCUCGAACUCUUGACCUCAUGAUCCACCCGCGUCGGCCUCCCAAAGUGCUGGUGGGGCCCGUGGCCAGCAAUCUCUGUUCUAACAAGCCCCUCUGGUGAUUCUGAUGGUGUCAAGGGUGAGAGUUGCUGGUCUAAGAAAACACUGCACACUAUAGCAAGUGCCUUCAAAGGACUGAUCCAGCAAGCUGCGGAAAGGCACUGACUCAAGGGAGCCAAGGGCCAAGCACAGAAGGCUUCAUGGAGGCAGUGUCUAGGAGUCAACCAGAUAAAAAA
rnacentral:lncRNA from 1 species